AUGAUUAACCUGUCCACUGCAAUUGUCAGGGAUUUGUCCUUCUCUGGUAGCCUGGUAACAUACACUCUCAGGUCUUUCUCUGCCUCUGUGGUGGAUAGUGGAGUGUUUGCCAUGUGGUAUUGGUGUGCUGGAUAUCCCUUCACUGGUAGCCUGGUAACAUACACUCCCAGGUCUUUCUCUGCCUCUGUGGUGGAUAGUGAAGUGUUUCCCAUGUGGUAUUGGUGUGCUGGAUAUCCCUUCACUGGUAGCCUGGUAACAUACACUCCCAGGUCUUUCUCUGGCUCUGUGGUGGAUAGUGGAGUGUUUCCCAUGUGGUAUUGGUGUGCUGGAUAUCCCUUCACUGGUAGCCUGGUAACAUACACUCCCAGGUCUUUCUCUGCCUCUGUGGUGGAUAGUGGAGUGUUUCCCAUGUGGUAUUGGUGUGCUGGAUAUCCCUUCACUGGUAGCCUGGUAACAUACACUCCCAGGUCUUUCUCUGCCUCUGUGGUGGAUAGUGGAGUGUUUCCCAUGUGGUAUUGGUGUGCUGGAUAUCCCUUCACUGGUAGCCUGGUAACAUAUAGUCCCAUGUCUUUCUCUGCCUCUGUGGUGGAUAGUGGAGUGUUUCCCAUGUGGUAUUGGUGUGCUGGAUAUCCCUUCACUGGUAGCCUGGUAACAUACACUCCCAGGUCUUUCUCUGCCUCUGUGGUGGAUAGUGGAGUGUUUCCCAUGUGGUAUUGGUGUGCUGGAUAUCCCUUCACUGGUAGCCUGGUAACAUACACUCCCAGGUCUUUCUCUGCCUCUGUGGUGGAUAGUGGAGUGUUUCCCAUGUGGUAUUGGUGUGCUGGAUAUCCCUGCACUGGUAGCCUGGUAACAUAUACUCCCAGGUCUUUCUCUGCCUCUGUGGUGGAUAGUGGAGUGUUUCCCAUGUGGUAUUAGUGUGCUGGGUAUCCCUUCACUGAUAGUCUGGUAACAUAUACUCCCAGGUGUUUCUUUGGCUCUGUGGUGGAUAGUGGAGUGUUUCCCAUGUGGUAUUGGUGUGCUGGAUAUCCCUUCGCUGGUAGCCUGGUAACAUAUACUCCCAGGUCUUUCUCUGCCUCUGUGGUGGAUAGUGGACUAUUUCCCAUGUGGUAUUGGUGUGCUGGAUAUCCCUUCACUGGUAGCCUGAUAACAUACACUCCCAGGUCUUUCUCUGCCUCUGUGGUGGAUAGUGGAGUGUUUCCCAUGUGGUAUUGGUGUGCUGGAUAUCCCUUCACUGGUAGCCUGAUAACAUACACUCCCAGGUCUUUCUCUGCCUCUGUGGUGGAUAGUGGAGUGUUUCCCAUGUGGUAUUGGUGUGCUGGAUAUCCCUUCACUGGUAGCCUGGUAACAUACACUCCCAGGUCUUUCUCUGCCUCUGUGGUGGAUAGUGGAGUGUUUCUCAUGUGGUAUUGGUGUGCUGGAUAUCCCUUCACUGGUAGCCUGGUAACAUACACUCCCAGGUCUUUCUCUGCCUCUGUGGUGGAUAGUGGAGUGUUUCCCAUGUGGUAUUGGUGUGCUGGAUAUCCCUUCACUGGUAGC